rnacentral:rRNA from 1 species
GAUGAACGCUAGCUACAGGCUUAACACAUGCAAGUCGAGGGGUAACGAGAGGAAAGCUUGCUUUCCUUGUCGACGACCGGCGCACGGGUGAGUAACGCGUAUCCAACCUGCCCCCAACUAGGGAAUAACCUUGCGAAAGUAAGACUAAUACCCUAUAAUUUCCUCAGAUGUCAUCUGACGAGGAAUAAAGAUUUAUCGGUUGUGGAUGGGGAUGCGUCUGAUUAGCUUGUUGGCGGGGUAACGGCCCACCAAGGCAACGAUCAGUAGGGGUUCUGGGAGGAAGGACCCACACAUGGGAACUGAGACACGGUCCAAACUCCUACGGGAGGCAGCAGUGAGGAAGAUUGGUCAAUGGGCGGAAGCCUGAACCAGCCAAGUAGCGUGCAGGAUGACGGCCCUAUGGGUUGUAAACUGCUUUUAUACAGGAAUAAAGUUAGCCACGUGUGGUUAUUUGUAGGUACUGUAUGAAUAAGGACCGGCUAAUUCCGUGCCAGCAGCCGCCGUAA